rnacentral:lncRNA from 1 species
GACAGGACGACGUCAUCAACGACAGCGAACUUGACGAAGGCAAGGGGCCCAAGACCUUCUCUUAUUCGGAACUCGCCCGGGCAACAAGCAACUUUGCGCCAGAACAAAAGCUAGGAAGAGGAGGAUUCGGAGACGUUUACAGAGGAACCUUAACCCAGCCGAAAAUGGUGGUGGCCAUCAAAAGAGUGGCAAAAGACUCGAGGCAGGGAAAGAAGGAGUAUGUCGCCGAGGUGAAGGUCAUCAGCCGCGUGCGCCACCGCAACCUCGUGCAGCUCGUGGGGUGGUGCCACGAGAAGGGGGAGCUGCUUCUCGUCUAUGAGUACAUGCCCAACGGCAGCCUCGACGCCCGCCUCUACGGCGGUGGCAAUCCGCUGCCGUGGCCGACGAGGUACAGCAUCGCCCGGGGGGUCGCGGCGGCGCUGCUUUACCUCCACGACGAGUCGGAACAGUGCGUCGUCCACAGGGACGUCAAGUCGGACAAUGUGAUGCUGGACGCCAAUUUCAACGCCAAGUUAGGGGAUUUCGGCCUUGCGAGGCUCGUGGACCACGGCGGCGGCAUGGAGACGACGGCCGUGGCUGGGACGAUGGGGUACCUGGCGCCGGAGACCGCGACGACGGGGAGGGCGAGCAAGGAGUCGGACAUCUACAGCUUCGGGGUGCUGGCCUUGGAGAUCGCCUGCGGGAGGAGACCCAUCGAUCACGGCAAUAAAGAGGGACGAGUUAGUCUCGUCGACUGGGUGUGGGAUCUCUACGGGAAGGGCGCCGUUGUGGAGGGGGCGGACGAGAGGCUGGGCUCGGACUUCGACCGGCAGGAGAUGGAGCGGCUGAUGGUGGCGGGCCUGUGCUGCGCGCACCCGGACCACCGGCAACGGCCGUCGAUGCGGCAGGUGAUCGGCAUUCUCCUCUUCGAGAUGCCGUUGCCUGAUCUUCCGUCCGAGAUGCCGGACCCGUCCUACGGAGCGUUUUCGGUUUCAGGGUUCAAGUUGACCAGCAACAACGGGUGGUCAUCGUCUACGUCCGCGACCUCCGCUGGAUUCACCAACGGCGCCUCCGUCGAUUCAGCGGGGUCCGCCGUCUCCAAACGACUUCUGUUUCCGUCCGGCAGUUGAAUCAGUCGAAUUCAACUCUUUCGUUUUGUUUGUCUUUCACUCAGGAGUUGAGUACAGCGAGAGAGCGAGAUAUUUCUGUGUUAUUUGCACUUUCUUCCCAACUGUUCUUGCUGUAAAAAUCCCUGUAACCAAGGUUUCGAUCCUUGGAGCUUAGCUCCCUCGUCCUACUCAGUUGACGGUGGAUUCUCGCGGACCCAUUACCACGAUGUAUCCCGGCAUUUUCGUGAGGAUCCUGAAUAGAUCUGAUAGGAAGGAAAGGAUAGGUUCGGCCUCCGACGUCUGUCUAUGGCAUUCCUCCCACGGGGGCGGCACGUCACCCACCGCACCACGACGACCAUUCACGAGAACGCCGAUGGUCAGGCCAGGCGUCUGUUCACAUCUUUUGUCUACUCUGUUUCAUGGGUCCUGGGUGACUUCUUCACGUGUUCCCACCUUCCCUCGGACGCGGACGAAAUCCGGAGAAUCAGCUUGGACAUGAGAUCGAUUCAGCCCGUCCUAGUUUAUCUUCCCUUAAAGACGGUGUUUUACGUGGGUACUACUCCAUUGCUCUCCUGUCGGCGUAACAGGACUGCUCCUUACGCCAUCACCUCCCCCCCCCAAUUGGUAGCUCGCAAAUCGCAUACAACACCAGCAUCACUGGAGAUCCGAGUUCGAGUGCUGAGGGGACGCCACAGCUGGAUACCAUUCAUCCAGGGACCCAUCGUCCCUCCGGGGCUCCCCUUACUUUCCGGCCCUUGCCCAUCUCGCUAAGAAGCCACAGGCAGCUGGCCGGAUGGAAACUAGUGAAGCUGGUGAGAGCUGGCAUCUCAGCCAAUUGUUCCCCCGUCUGACUUCUGACUCGGUCCAUGCAUUACUUCGUCAUAAAGGUGUGCGAGAAUCGGGCCACAACCGGUCCUUUUCGCAUGUCGCGUCCUCUCUCUCUCCUCGGCAUGAAACGCCUCGUCAUCCUCCACCCAGCCGAUUCCCAACAACCUUUCCCUUCCAACAAUCUUUCACUUCAUCUCAUAAUAGAGAUCUUAAAUGAAAUGUCUGGUUAUUGUAUAAAUAGAUAAUAACUGCAUCAGGGAACUGUGACUUGUGACUGUACUAAAUUUCAUGUUUAUUCUUCAAAAAUUUCUCCAAGAGUUCAUUCGAAAUCACAUGUAUAUAUUUCAAAAUUCUUCUCUCUAAUCACUUUGAAAACCGAAUUAUAUAUUUCACUUUUUUUCACUAUUUAUUUAAAAACUCAAAAUAUUUUUUUAUUAAUUAAAAUACAAUUUUUAAAAUAUGAAAUCAUUUUAAAAAUAAAAUAAAUAUUAAUAUUCAUGAAAAAUUAUUCAUACUCGAUGUUUGACUUAAGACUCAUUUAUUCAUCCCCGAGACAAGUACCAUCAAAGAUUAACCAUAAAAAGUGAUUAAUAGUGGGUAUAAAAAGAAGAGCCAGUGAAAAGAAAAGAAUAUAGAAGUAGAUACAAGAGAUUGACCAUCUCAUAAUGAGUCCUUAUCUAGAAUAAUUUUACCAUCUCGUUGUCAACCACCCACCACUUUCAUUCCCUUGUUUUCAUUUUCUAUUCCAUUUGACUUAUGUCAGGUCUUCAAACUAUGUACCCUUCAAAGGAUUUUUAGGCCCUUAGUGAAAUAUUUUCCUAUGAAAAGUGAGUCACCUUUCUUCCACGUCUUGAGGCUGAUGAUAGACUAAAUGAUUGAAUGUUCAUAUGCAUGAGUGAAAGAUGAAGAUAAAGAGAUGAAGGAGGUGGAACAAUGUGGAUAAGAGAGACGAGGUAAGUGGUGAGUUUUGUUUUCUCAUAUUUGAAAGAUCUAAAACUAGAAAUCAAAUGAUUUGUAGAACAUGCUCUCAAAACAUAAUCUAUCUCUAAUUUUGAACUAAAAUAUAACCCUAGAUGAACGAGAAUUUUAACCACCAUGAAACUAACCUGACAUCAUCACUUCUUAUUCUAUAUUUCCACCAAGAGGCAUUCACUUGUAGUAGUGGGAGAGGCCUCAUUUAGGCAAGAUAAGCUUCCAUUCCUGUUGUAAUACACCUACACACAUGCAAAGUGAAGCCCUAGAAAACCUUUCCCCUCUAAGUAGGAACAAUGACCAUGGUUUUAUGUCAAUAUAUAAAGCAUUACCCUCACUCUCUCUCCUCUCUUCAUGUGAGAGAAACCACCAAAAGUUUCUCAUGCCUUCACACCUUUCUAAACAAUUACACACCAUUAGAUCAAUGGGUCUCCUCUCUCUAGUGUCUUCUACCAUUUGAUGGUUGGUUUCUUCAUCUAGUCACUUUUCUCUAUUAGAUUGAUGAACCCUUCUUUUGCCAUUAGUGCCUUUCUUAGCCAUUGGAUCCCUCUUGCCACUAAGGUCACUUGUUGUACACAAUGGCUAGAUUCCAACCACAUAUGGGAUGCCCUAGACUUGAGUAAUAAAUCAUUAAAAAUAUCUAGAGGAUAGUUAAUAAAAUAUUGAAACAUAAUGUCCAUUAUGGUUCUAUAUAAUGUCACAUCAAACAUAUAUGAAAGAAUAAUCCAAGAAAAUUCAAGAAAAUACUGGAAACAUUAAUAUACCUCUAAACAUAUUAAAAUCACACCAUUCACACCAUUGAGGUGAGGAAUUAAUAAAGAGAAUCCUAAAAAAUGUUAAACUAUAGAAGAUAAUGUGUGUUUCUAACCUACUAUUCAUGUUACUAGGGGUUCAUCAAAUGGAAUUAGAGCCACACAUCAAAUGUUGAAGAUGAUAGAACCUAAGGUAAACCUCCUUGAGAGAAGCUUGGAGAAAGUUCAUGAGGUCAAUACAACCCUCUAGCAAAACGCCAUGAUGCUCCUAAUGAAAGUCUCUUCCCUCUGUGAGGAGACCAGGGGACUUCGUCAACAACUAGAUCACAUUAUUUGAACACUAGACAACCUACAAAGUUGGGAGGAGCUUCAACAACUUCUUGAAUGAUUCAACACCACUCAAUCAAGCUUUCUUUGUCAUAAUUUCCUAAGCAUCAACUAGAAAGCCUUUAUUAUGGAAUACCAAGAGGAGUUCAAAAUGAUGGCUGGCAUAUUGGGUCACUUACCCAAACAUAUUUUUGAAAAUAUAAUCCUAAAAGGGUUACAUAAUGAAAACUAAGUGGAAGUCACACUUUUAGAACAAAUUGGGCAUAAAAAGUUGAAGCUAAAUGUCAUAGUAAUAAGAUCUUAUUAAAGUAGAAGAAAUCUCCACAAUUUCACUAUUGAAGCUCCUAACUAUUCCCUUCAACAUUACUUAAUUCUUGAACAAGACCCUCAAAGGAUAAUGAUCAACGAAGGACAAAGAUCUAACCUUACUAUAGGUGGCUCACAUGUCAAGGAAUGCUAGUGAAUACAUCUCACUAUAGUACAAAUUCAAUCCUAAUGAGCUCAGGGACUCUACUUCUCAUGUAACGAUAAGUUCUUUCUAGAACAUCUCUACUACUAAGAACAAUAGGUGUUGGUCAUCCAAGAAGGAUUUAUCUUUGAUAAUAGGGCCAGACUCCAAAAGACUACACGACAUCGUGGGAAGAUCGAGUAAUCGACACUAUGAAAAUCAAUAUAGUAAUUUUCACAUUUGACCUUGUAGACAAGAUAUGAUUCAAAGGGGAGAAUAUUGAUGAGACACUAGUUGAUCAAAGACAUCCCUAGAGGCUUAACAAAUGCCUCAACUACUUUACCAAUAGAGAUGUCAGCAAAGAUUAACUAGAGAUAUCCUCAAGAUAAGUGCCACUAGAGAUUAACCAUUGAAAUUGAUUAGCAAUAGUUAUGGUAAGAGGAGGAAGGUGAAGAAAAGAUUAGAGGAGUAAUAAUAAGAGAUUGAUCAUCUUGUAAUGAGUCCUUAUCAAGAAUAGUUCUACAAUCUUAUUGUUGAGUACAACCCCUUCCAUUCUCCUAUUUUCAUUUUCUCUUCCCUUUAACUUUUAUUAGGUCUCUAUAUCAUGUACCUUUCAAGGGAUUUCUAGGCCUCUAGUGAAGUAUUUUUCUCCAAAAUAAUGAGUCCCCUUCUUUUCAUAUAUGGGGGCCCAUUAUGACUAUAAAGGGAGGGGCUUCUAAAGGGCUAGACAUGAGGAAGAACAAAGUAUUACUGUUGAAAGAGGAGAGAGACCUUGGAAAAUGAAUUAAUCAAGGAGAGAGAGCAUACACAAUGUUUAUAGAGAGAGAGAGAGAGGAGAGAGAAUGGAUAAUGGGCCCUUAAUGGGCCAGGUGAGCUAUAUAACAAUUACUAUGCUCACAAAUUGCAUAUAGCACUUGCACCACUAGAGAUAUGAGUUCAGUGCUAAUGGUUUGUCCAUUAGUAUAAAAGUACCUCACAAGUUUAUGCUUCCACCAAUUUACACCUCACCUCAAAAAUUAAAAAAAAAUUCGUCACAACGAUACAUGGUUACCUUAUGACAUGUGUUACCAAGGUCAACCUUCAAGCACAAACCUUAAUAGUAACUAUGUGUCAUGGUCCACGAUGAUGUAUGACCCAAUAAUUGAAUAGUUAAUCUCAUACAAAAAUGAGAAUUAACUAUCAUAGGGAACAUGUAUAUAAUAGGAUACCCCAACCCUUUACACUGAAUACCUUGAAAGUUAAGUUUAUCUUUAUUGAUUACGGAUAACCUCUCUUGAUCACAUUUGGCCCACUUAGGUAAGAAAAAUAGCAUAGGCCAAUGAAUUAUUUGAAGCUAUACAAAUCUUUGUUACAUUCAUAUUAGAGCAAAGUUAGAUCCCCUUGCUUCUUUCCUUAUUUUUUUCUAUUGGUAGAAAGAUAUAGAUGUAGAAAAAAGUUGGGUGGAUAUGAGUGGUGCCCAUGAGUAAAGGUUCGCCCAUUUAGAUGAGUAGUUUGGAGGUGACAGUUGCGACUAUAGAAUCCUUCACUAGUAAGAUGUAGGCGGGGUGAAUCCCUAUAGAGAGAGAAUGCGGACAAUUCAAAAGAAGAAUGGAUCUAGGUAGUAACAACACUUAUUGAAGCCUUGUUUAACCAAAUAGAUGAGGACAUAAAAAAUAGAGACAUAAAAAAAAGAGAUAAAAAAUAAUGAUAUAUUUUUGCCUAAAAAAGAGAGAUCCUCCCUUCAUAAAAGAAAUCAUGAGGAAAUUAGAUCAAGUUUAAAAUUAGUUGGAGGCCAACUUUCAAAAAGUAGUGGGAGACCUCCAUAAGAAGGUUGUAGGUAGUGGGAGACUAUAAAAGCCUUACAAUUGAGCCCAAAUUUUAUGGUCAAAAGAGGGAUAUCAUAAUAAUUAGUAAUCUUUUAUGAGAUCUACAAUAGUAUUUGAAUGUUAACGCAUCUUUGAAAGAAGAGAAAAUUUUCCUAAGUAGUCUUUAUUAGUUAGGACAUGCUAAGACAUAAUAGUGACUAAGGAUGGAAGAUAACUCACAACUAGUAGUAGCAUAGUGAGAGUACUUUGCCAAGAAAAUGUGAGGGCAAUUUCAUAUAAUGAAUUGUGAAAAAUCCAUCAAAAUUAUCAUGAGAUAAUUAAAAUAUAUCAAAUUUAUCUGUGAGUAUGUUGAAAAGAUUGUCAUGAACAUAUGUAGUAGCUUGUGAUAGAUUUUUGAUCUCCUUUAUCCAAAAUAUCCAUAGUCGAAAUAGGCCUCAAUUUACAAACGACCAUGACAUGUGUAAAGGAGCCCCUUCUUCAAAGCUUAUUUGAUGUAUGCAAGUACUCAUAAAGCGCCCUUUCAAUGUACCUUGUGUGACUCCUACAUAAAUUGGUUAAGGACACUAAAAACAUCAAACUAUGUAAGGAUGAGUAACUAUCAAGUAGAUUAGUUUCCCUAAUAAACGUUGAUGUAUGUUAGUGUCUUCUACUAGAAGGGAAUUGUUCUAAAGCUUUGGCUGAUAUUCUAUUGAUGAAGAUUCUACUUUACACCCUAGUAAUUAUGUUUCUUAAAGGAGAUCUAAGGCAUACUUUUGUUGAGAAAGAGCUAGUUAUCUCGAUUGAUAGGCAAACUCAAAUCCAAAGAAGUAGUACAAGGCUUAAAGAUCAUUCAUCACAAAGUGCUAAUGUAACUACUCUUUUGUAGUAGAGAUGUCUACCUCAUCACUGUUUGUUAAAAGUAUAUCAUUAACAUAAACACCAAAACUACAAAAGUCCUCAAAAAUGGUCUUCCACAUCACAAUAAAAUCAACAACAUAUGGAGUGAAGCUAUAGGCAAUAAGGAGCUAGUUGAAUUUCACAUACUAAACUCAGAGACUCUAUUUGAGCCCAUAUAUGGCUCAUCGGAGCAAGCAUACUUGAGAAGUCUCCCUUUUAAUAACAUACCUUAGAGGUUGUUCCAUAAACACAUGUUCAUAUAAGUUGUCAUACAUGAAGACAUUAAAGAUAUUCAGUUGGUGUAAGGACUAACCCUAAUUAACUAUCUGAGAGAUAAGUACUCGAAUGGAGUUGAGACGAACCACUAAAGAGAAAGUUUUCAUAUAAUUGAUGUCAUAUGUUUAAGUGAAACCUCAAGCUAUUAACCGAGCAAAAGUGAUGAGCCAUUAUACCAUCAAGAUUAUAUUUAAGGUUGAAAACCCAUUUGCACAUCACAUGUUAGUAUUAGUUCGACGUAGUACAAGUUAUCAAGUACCACAUGUUAUUAAGGCACGAUACACAAGAUCUAUGGUCACUUUUCACUCAUGUACCUAAAGAGCUUCAAGAUACAUCUUGAGAAGUGACUUAGAAGAAAUAAAGAGGGCAAAAACAUAAAAGGUAGGGUGAAGGCAGUCAUAAGAGACAAAAUUAGUAAUGGGGUACUAAGUGUAAGUAUGUUUACCUUUGUGUAGGGCAAUUAGAAGAUGGAGGUCAUCUAAAGGUGGAGUAGUAAAGGAGUGUGUGGCCUAAUCUAGUACCAGAGUGGAGACAAUUGAGGGUAUAUCUUGUAUUAGAUCUUGUGAAGAUGACAUGAAUAGUGACACCAUAUGAGUGUCCUUGAUAAAAAGUAAUAUGAGGUUGUGAAGUACGAUUGGAAGAGAGUGGUGGAAAACCUAGAGGUGGAGAAGAAGACACUUGAGAAAGAGUAGUAUGAGAAGAAAAGAAGGGUCUGUCCUAAUGGAAAGUGAUAUCAAUUGAAGUGAUACAAUGAUGAGUAUCAAGGAAGUAUACACGAUAGCUUUUUUACGUAUGCAAGUAGUCAAUGACGACCCUCUUAAGGGCACGAGGAGUAUGAAAACAGAUAAAGUGUGAUCAUUGACGAAUGUUAGAUAGCCAAAUAUACGAGAAAAAAAAGCCAAAGAGAGUUGCCUUGGGGUAGAGAUGUUAGAGGGGAAUAUCUUCAUUUAGGGGGGAGGAAGGUAGACGGUUGUGUAGGUAGGUGGCCAUCAUGAGAGUAUUAUUGUACUAGAGAUAGUGAGGGACAUGCAUCUCAUUGAAAAGUAUGUGAGUAAUGUCUAGUAGGUGGUGAUGUUUCUAUUCUACAACACCAUUUUGUUGAGAGGUGUAAGGGCACCUGGUCUAGUGUAUAAUAUUACGAUCAACACAAAAGGUAGAGAGAACAAGUUGAACUAACUCCAGGGCAUUGUUAGUAUGAAGAAUCUUAGGGGUAAUAGAGUGUUGUAUCAUAAUCUUGAUGAUGAAUUAUAUGACAAUGUUAGGGACAUGAGAAUAAUUUUUCAUGAGAUAUAGCCAACAAAGAUCACAUAGUAGAGGUGGCAUAAGAGAGAAUUAACCUAAGAUAGGCACCAAACAUUACAAUGAACAAGGUCAAACUAGUGAGAGGACAAGAUUAUGUUGUGAGGAGAGUAGGUGGAGUGAUGAUGUUUGCUUAAUUGGCAUGACUCACACAUAAACUUAGAGAGAGAAAGGCAUAGUAAUGAUUUUUGAAGUUUUGAAAAAUAAGAAUGUCCUGAACAAUGAUGCCACAAAAUAGAUAAAAAAAAGUAGAAUGAGCAAACAAGAUAAGAAGACCCAAGGAUAGUGUCUUGGGGACAAGCUCAUAGAUGUCACUACCAUUCUCAUACUUCAAAUCAAUCCAUUGUCUUAUAUGUAGAUCUUGAAAAAUACAAAGAAAGAGAAAAAAUAUAAUAACACAAUUAAGUGUACAUGUGAUGGCACUAAUGGACAAGAGGUUAGUGGGAAAAUUAGGUACAUGAAGGACAUCAUGGAGGGGUAGGGAGGGUAUAUGUGUGGUCAAUCUAUGACCCUUAAUGGACAUAAAUGACUAUUAGCAAUGGAGAUAGGAGGAUAGGUAGAUGUAGGUUAAAUGAAGAUGGGGACAAAUAGUGUACCCAUCAUAUGGGCAAAUUCCCCCAAGUCGAUAAUCUAAGACAAUUUAGAAGUAAUAAGGACAUAUACUUAAAGUAGAGGUAAGACUGGCCAAUGUGAUAGUGUAGGACAAAAUAUCAUAUGUUUGCUUUCAUGUCUCAUAUUUGGCGAGAGAGAAUGACACCUAGAUUGUUAGAAUAGUAGGUGUCGGUGGAGGAACUAUAGAUGUAAUAGGAGUGGCUAUACGAGAGUAGGCAAUAGAUAUCAAGGCUUGUGUCCAUUUGGGUUUCCCAAAUUCUUUUCAACACUUGUUAGAAGGAUAGCUGGUCUUGACAUAGUAGGUACAUGGGGGAAAUCCAUUCUUAACCUUAGUAGAACUCUUGCCCUUAUUAUAAUUCUUGGGGCCAUGGCCACCAUGUGAUCCUAAUGCUACUGUUACUAGGGCCAAAGGAUAUGGUAGAGCAAAUGAGACAAAUGACAUAAGAAUGCUUAGGGGUACACCAAUAAUAACUCAAAAUGUUAAAGAGAAAAUGGAGGCAAUCGACAAUAUAUGACUACUAGAAAGUACUUGACGAUAAAUCUAGAAGGCAAUGGAUGGGUGAAAGCCAUUGAGAUAGGCAUCGACAAAUAGUUAUUAAUGAUAAUGCUCCAAGUGCAUAAAUCAGUUGUGGAGGGCUAGCGGACCAAUAACUUCUAGAUGAUGUUUUAGAGUUUGCCAAAAUACUCCUAAAGAGUUUGAUUGCCUUGCUUGCAUGCAAAAAAAGCUUCAUAAAGUUUGAUUGUGCGGUUGAUAUUGGUCUUAUUAAUAUACAUCAUCUCAAGUGUCUGCCAAAGGGCGCAUAGGAACUUGAUGUGAUCAAGAGGUUGAGCAAUACUUGGAAUAAUGUUUCAACACAUCUAUAUAAGAACUGUCAAGUCAAGUUGUGACCACAACACAUAAGUACAUGUCGUGGCUACCGGAGGUGAUGUUAGAUAAUGUAACAAAUUAUGAGCUUGAAAAAAAUUUUCAAAGCUAUAUAUGCCCACGAUCAAUAAUUGAAAUUGUCAAACACAUAUGCCAGCCAAGUUAGUGGGGCAAUAAUAGAGUGAUGGGUCGAUAGUAUUGGAUCAACUACAAGACAAACAAAGGGACUAGAAGAGGGAGAACUAGAAGUAACAAUUCGUCGAUAGAAUCUACCAUCAGGUUGGGGCACGUAAGAGAGCAACAAUCAAAAGAUCAGGACACUAAUAGAUGAGGGCCAGCUAAGGCUGUUAGGGUAGGGCACUAAGGUGGCCUAGGUAGCCACAUGAGUAGCUUGGGCCUAAAAUAAUUUGGACAGUAGCUUGGACUUGGAAUGGCCCAAGUGAAUGCCAAUACUAGAGCAACAAUUUUAGUAGUCAAAGAAGACGGUGGCUAUGGAGGCAAUGAGGGAAAUGAUGGUGGCGACGAUGAUAGUGGCAACAAAUUAGGAGGGAACCCUAGGACGAGCCAGUACACAAUAAGGUGGGGGGGCAGUCUCAUGGCUCUAGUGCCAUGUGGAAUGAAAAACCUUUAAUCCUGAGAUUACAAGAGCUUAUAUAAAGGAGAGAAGAAGAUGGGUCAUUGUUGGGCCAUACUCUUAUAGUACAUACCAAAACUCAAUAGUAAAAAUAUAUUUAAAUAAUAAUAGUCAAAGAGUCAAGUAGGUAUUUGUGGGUUGUUAUAAAAAGAAGGUCAUAAAGGUUAAGAACAUAUCUUUUCUAAGUCUAGAACCAGCUUAGAAGAUGUCAAGUUGGGACAUGUCUAUUUCUCUUUUUGAACUUGAUUUACAUACUAGGACUGAAUUAAGGCCAAAUUUGAAAUGAUUCUAGAUGACUUUUCCCCUCACCUAGUGCAUGUCUACAAGGGUCAAGAAGUCAAGAUGGAGAUUGAACUGAAGGUGAAGAGGAGGAGAUCCCCUCUUUCUCUCUCUCUCUCUCUCUCUCUCUCCCUCUCUCUCUCUCUCUCUCUCUCUCUCUCUCUCUCUCUCUCNNNNNNNNNNNNNNNNNNNNNNNNNNNNNNNNNNNNNNNNNNNNNNNNNNNNNNNNNNNNNNNNNNNNNNNNNNNNNNNNNNNNNNNNNNNNNNNNNNNNNNNNNNNNNNNNNNNNNNNNNNNNNNNNNNNNNNNNNNNNNNNNNNNNNNNNNNNNNNNNNNNNNNNNNNNNNNNNNNNNNNNNNNNNNNNNNNNNNNNNNNNNNNNNNNNNNNNNNNNNNNNNNCUCUCUCUCUCUCUCUCUCUCUCUCUCUCUCUCUCUCUCUCUCUCUCUCUCUCUCUCUCUCUCUCUCUCUCUCUCUCUCUCUCUCUCUCUCUCUCUCUCUCUCUCUCUCUCUCUCUCUCCUCUCUCUCUCUCUUGCUCUCUCUUCCCACCAACUUCAAUGGGGUUUUCUACUACUACCACAAGGCUUUUGUUCCACCACCAGGGCAAGAUACUCGCUCACUAUGUGUCCUCUUUUACUGCCACAAGCUCCUCUACCGUUGUUGCAUGCUUUCUUCCAUUGCCACUACAGAAUCCUCCUCGCCAUGCAUCCUCUUCUGCCACCACAGGCUCCUCCACCACCAUUGCAUGUUUUCUUCUCCUACCAUUGCAGAAUCCUCCCUUGUUGCGCAUCCUCUUCUGUUGCCACAAACUCCUCUAUUGCUACUACAUACUUUCUUCCACUGCCAUCGCAUAAUCCUCUCUCACUGUACUCCCUCUUUUGUUACUACAUGCUCCUUUGAGACCACUACAUGUUUUCUUUUGUGCCCACCACAAAAUCCUCUCUAGCCGUGAGUUCUCUUCCAUUACCACAAGCUCCUCUACUACCGGUACAUGCUUCUCUUCUGCCAACAAUGUAGAAUCCUAGCUAGUUCUGUGUCCUCUUAUGGCACAUGUUCCUCCUGCCACAAGUUAUUUGAUGUUUUUGUAUUUUUAAAUAUAACACAAUUAUAUAAUUAAAUGAUUUUAUUUAUCUUAAUUUGUAAUAUUAUAAUUAACUGUUAUGAUUUAAAAGUUAGUUAUAUUAUAGAUAAAUUAUAACAUAUAUAUAUAUCUUUAAAUGUAGAUAGGUCAUAGGUCUGAACUUAGUUCUAAGUUUAGGUCACAACUAAAAACUUAAUUGAGACUAUGACCAUUGAUCUCUAGUUAUAGCUGAAAACUUGGGCACAAAUAAAUAAUUUUGAUCUUAGAGGGGGGUAUAAUGUUAAAACACUAUGCUGCGGACUUCUCCUGGGAUCAUUAAUGGUCUAUGCCCACAGAACAUGUCCGAGGGUGACACCCUGCCUAAGUCAUGGGCCUGGGGUCCAGUACAGAGCCCAAGUGUCUGUGCAAAGCUAUUUGGAUCCGAUAUCGCGGAGCGGAUCUGCAACGGACCAAGAAGAUACACGGAGGGGAAGAUCCGGCGGAUAAAGUGACCGUUGUGGGCCGGAAAACCGCUCGACGCACGUUCUCCCGUUAUGGGCCAGAAAGAAGGUGGCGUGGGGGGUUUUUCCAGGCGGCCCAGAUCGUGGGUGGGCUGUUCCGACCUUCAGGGGGUGCACGAGAGUCUUUGCGUUGACCAUCACCAUUUCCGCGUAAUCUUGGAGAAGAAAGGUAGCUAGUGCUGGCGACGGGGGCCAAGGCCAGUCCGGGAACGAAUCCAGGUGAGUUCGAUCCUUGACCCGUGAUACAAGGCACAGGCCCACUCCUCCGGCCCCAUGCUUACCAAAAGAAGUGGUGGACAGGUGACUCGGCAGAUACGUCCAUAUUUCAGCCGACUGCGCUCAAAUUCCGAACGGCCACAGUCGCUGUGAUAGCCGCUAUACUUUCUCCAUGGUAGAAAUUUUGACGGUCAAGUCAAUGUCGGACCGUGUGGUCGCCGUCGUCCUUCUUCGGAAGCAUCACCAGAGCUAGCAUCGCCGCGUACUAAAGUGGCGCAGACGGAGAACUUGUUUUCUUGUCUAACUGGUUCAACUCACGGCAUCGCAGACCUUGCAGGAGUGAGUUCCGUGGUGGCCCUAACCCACCUCCUCGGAGCUUAUCCCUGAGCCAUGCCGCUGGGCACGCCCGCCGCCUCUUUGCUCCUCCUGCUCACCUUUGUCCUCAUGGCUGGAGCGGAGACGGUGACCACCUAUUUCGACUUCCCUACGUUUGGCUCUAGCCGCGACAUCACCUUCCUGGGCAACGCCUCAUCCACCAACGGCUCUCUAGAGCUCAACGAAGACGGCAGCUACAGCUACGGCCGAGCCUUCUACUCGAACCCGGUCCGUCUCUGGGACAACAAAACGGGGAAUCUGGCAAGCUUGAUCACAAACUUCUCCUUCUCGGUGAUCCAGAGUCCGAACAGUACAUAUCACGGUGAUGGAUUAGUCUUCUUCCUCGCCCCCAUCGGCUACCCUGUACUGCAGAACAGAUUGGGUGGCCUAUUCACGCUCUUCAAUAGUAGUGACGAAUUGGUCAUGUCCCCCGUGGUAGCCGUCGAGUUCGAUACCUACUCAAACGAUUGGGAUACGGAGGUCGCCCAUGUGGGAAUCGACGUCGGCCACAUCGACUCCGUCAAAAGCUUGUCUUGGGAGUCGUUCGACUUCCCGACCAUCGACGCAGUGAUCUCCUACGACGCCGGCACCACGGAGCUGAGAGCCUCCUUUUCCGACGGCAACGGCUACAACAAGACCUUAUUUUACGUCGUCGACCUGAGAAAGGAGCUCCCCGAAACUGUGAACAUCGGCUUCGCGGGUGCCACUGGCAGAUACUUCGAACGCCAUGUGAUACAUUCCUGGAGCUUCAACUCAAGCCUGGAUGUUGUCGACCGUAACGGCAACACUACGAACGGCGGCGACACCGGAGGGGGCACCAUCACGGCUCCACCGGUCCCCCCUCCGAACAAGAAGAAAAGCAGCAUCGGUCUACUGGCUGGUGUGCUAGCCGGCGCGGGAACCUUGGCAAUCGCAGCGGGUUUGGCACUCGUCUUCGUCUGGCGAAGAAGGGCACAUGCGAAGAAUGGAGGACAGGACGGCGUCAUCAACGACAGCGAAUUUGACGAAGGCAAGGGGCCCAAGAGCUUCUCUUAUUCGGAACUCGCCCGGGCAACAAGCAACUUUGCGCCAGAACAAAAGCUAGGAAGAGGAGGAUUCGGAGACGUUUACAGAGGAACCUUAACCCGGCCGAAAAUGGUGGUGGCCAUCAAGAGAGUCGCAAAAGACUCGAGGCAGGGAAAGAAGGAGUAUGUCGCCGAGGUGAAGGUCAUCAGCCGCGUGCGCCAACGCAACCUCGUGCAGCUCGUGGGGUGGUGCCACGAGAAGGGGGACCUGCUUCUCGUCUAUGAGUACAUGCCCAACGGCAGCCUCGACGCCCACCUCUACGGCGGUGGCAAUCCGCUGCCGUGGCCGACGCGGUACAGCAUCGCCCGGGGUGUCGCGGCGGCGUUGCUUUACCUCCACGACGAGUCGGACAAGUGCGUGGUCCACAGGGACGUCAAGUCGAGCAACGUGAUGCUGGACGCCAAUUUCAACGCCAAGUUAGGGGAUUUCGGCCUUGCGAGGCUCGUGGACCACGGCGGCGGCAUGGAGACGACGGCCGUGGCUGGGACGAUGGGGUACCUGGCCCCGGAGACCGCGACGACGGGGAGGGCGAGCAAGGAGUCGGACGUCUACAGCUUCGGGGUGCUGGCCUUGGAGAUCGCCUGCGGGAGGAGACCCGUCGAUCACGGCAAUAAAGAGGGGCGGGUUAGUCUCGUUGAGUGGGUAUGGGAUCUCUACGGGAAGGGCGCCGUUGUGGAGGCGGCAGACGAGAGGCUGGGCUUGAACUUUGACCGGCAGGAGAUGGAGCGGCUGAUGGUGGCGGGCCUGUGCUGCGCGCACCCGGACCACCGGCAACGGCCGUCGAUGCGGCAGAUGAUCGGCAUUCUCCUCUUCGAGAUGCCGUUGCCUAAUCUUCCGACAGAGAUGCCGGAGAUAUCCUACGGAGCGUUUCCCGUUCCGGAGUUCAACAUGACCACCAUCAAGGAGUUGUCGUCUACGUCGGCAACCUCCGCCAGAUUCGCCACCGGCGCCUCCGUCGAUUGAGCGGGGUCCGCCGGGUACAAACCAGCCCUUUAUCCGCUCGACAGGUGAAUCAGUCGAAUUCAACGCUUUCGUUUUGUUCAUCCUUCUCUCAGGAGCUAAGUACAGCGAGAGUGCCAGAUGUAUCUUCUGUGUUCUUCCUGUAAUAAUCCCUGUAACGAAGGUUUCGAUCCUUGGAUCUUAGCUCCUUUGUCCGCGUCAGUUGACUGUGGGUUAUCGCUUGACUCAUGACCAUGAUGCAUCCCGGCAUUUCCGUGAGGAUCCAGAAAUGGAUCAGAUGGGAGGAAAGGAUAGGUUCGGCCUCGGACCUUUGUCCAUCGCCUUCCUCCUACCGGGGCGUGUCGUCACCCAGCCCACGACGACCAUUCCCCGAAGCUCAGGCGUCGGUUCACAUCUCUUGUCUGCUCUGUUUCAGUAGUCCUCGGUGACUUCUUCCCCCGUUCCCACCUUCCACUCGGACGCGGACGAGAUCCGCAGAAUCAGCUUGGACAUGAGAUCGAUUCAGCCCGUCUGAGUUUAUUUCUCUUUUAGAUGUUUUUUUACGUGGGUACGACUCCCUUACUCUCCCGUCGGCCUAACAGAACUUAAAUAUCUAAUUCGUCACAACGACAAAGGGUUAGCAUACGCCAUGACUGGGGCCGCGCAUCUACCCAUAUUCCACGGAGAGGACCGGUCCUCCCUCCGGGGCUCCCUUUAUUUUUCGUCUCUUGGAUCCCUCGCUGACCCAUCACGCCGGUGGAUCGUCUUCCUAGCCCCGAGUUUCUUAGUCGUUUAUCUCUUGUACUGGGACGAGGCCGCCGGGUCGCCGGGCCGCCGGUUGGAUGGAAACGGAUGGAGCUCGUGGGAACCGGCUUCUGAGCCAGUCGGUAAAGAGGGGUGGUGGCACCGGUUAGACCGAAACUGCAUCUCAUGCACCUCGCCUUUUAUGCCGCGGAGGAAGAUGAAGGAACCAAAACCGAAACAUCCAGGCGAUAAGAGGGCGAAUAAGAAAGUCAGGAGGCUCUUCUCACCGCCGCAUCAGAUGCCUCAAGCGAGAGCUUUUCCGCAAACUCGUAUCCCCUCUUUCUUUCGUUUGGCCUACGUGACUGUGUAAGCAAAGAAAGCCAAUGAAGGCUUACGAAUGUCGGAAGGAGUUGACCCCACACGGUAGGUGUUUUCCGAUCGACGAUGCGGUGUGUACGGCGGUGGGCACGCACCCCCCAGCCUUCGCGGGAAAAUGCCGAGCUUCCCCCCGCCGGGGGCCCUCCCAUGCAGCUCCAGUUUUCCCCCACCUCCUGCGUCCCUCUCAAUAAUCCCCUCCACACCUGUCUCUCUCGGCGAUAUUUCGUCAUUCAUAAACUACAUAAAAAAAAGCUUCUUUUUUUUGUCAUUCGCUCCCUAUGGGUGAUAAGAUUAUUUUGGCUACCGGGAGUUUGGCCAGUGCAGUCGCAGGACGCGCAAUGACCGUAAGGGUCAUUGGACGCGCGAUGACCAUAAAGGUCACCGGACGCAUGAUGCCGGAAAUGGCUACAAUGCCGUCUGCGGUCACGAGAUGUGACACUGCCGCCAGCAAUGGCGAUAAUGGGCCGUAAUGGGCCAUGAGCCGCAAUGGGCCAUGCACCGUCUACGGCAUCAGGAUAACCCCAUGACAUGAUCCACCACCGCCAGCAAUGGCGAUGAGGGGUGGAGCACUACGAUUGGCAUGUGAAGCCACCUAGAUGGCAGGAGGGCUGAGGUGGAAGCCACCAUCUUCACGGUAGCCAGCCACCACUUGAAUGGUUGGAGUGCCGCCAUUAUGGCGAGCAACUUCUCUCCUGAAGGGCCAUUUUAGGGCACUCAAUUACAACUACGGUAAUUGCAUGGGAUGGCCACACCUCGUCGCUUGUGACGGCCCAUGCUUCACCUUCUAUUACGGCUCACGCCUCAUAUUUUUGAUGGCCCACGUCUCAUGGCACAUGAUGGCUUAGGCCUUAUUAUCUGUCAACUUGAAUGAUUGUCCUAAGAAUGAGAUAGAAAAAGAACAAAUGGAUGACAUCCCAUAUGCCUCAGUUGUUGAGAGCUUAUGUAUAAACAUGUACCUAUCCAGAUGUCACAUAUGUUGUUGGGAUACUUGGUAGAUAUCAAAAUAACAUAGGCCUAUAACAUUAGAAGGUUACAAAAAAAAGUUAUACAUUAUUUACAAGGCACUAAGGAUCACUUGCUCACUUAUAAAAGAUCAGAUCAUCUUGAGGUCAUUGGCUAUUGAGAUAUAAAUAUUGGAGGCUAUCUUGAUAGUAAAAAAUUUACUUUAAGUUUCAUUUUUCUACUAAGAUGUCGAGUCAUUUCAUAUGAGUAUAAAACAAACCACUAUAGCUUCUUAUGUUAUGGAAGUUAAAUUUGUUACCUUCUAUGAGACCUCAUCAUAGGCAAUAUAGAUAAAAAAAUUUUAUCACAAGUCUUAAAAUGAUGGAUUCAAUUCAAAAACCACUUAAGAUCUAUUGUGAUAAUGAAGUUGAUGUUUCUUUCUUUAACAACAACAAAAGUUUCACUUCAUGUAGGCACAUGGAAAUAAAUUAUUUUGUUGUUAAAGAAAUAAUAGAUAUUCAUUUGGUGUCUACUACUCAUAUUGGUAUACAUGACAUAUUAGUAGACCCACUUACUAAAGGAUUGACGCCUAUAUUAUAUUUCAAACAUGUAAGGAACAUGGGUCUAUCCUUUAAUGUCUUAUUUUGAUAGAUCUUACAAAAGUAAUGUUUUAUUUUGAGACAUCAAGUAUUUGUGAACAUAUUUUGGUAAAUAUUAUGAUUCUUUGGGUUCUACUUUCUAUAUCAAGUAUUUAUAAAUAAAUUAAGUAAAUAAAGAGUUAUAUUUUACCAAGGGAAUAAGAAUGUGGUUAACUUAUUCAUAAAAGUCGUUGUCAUAUAAAGUAUUGGUAAUUAAAGAAUAUUGACAUAGUAAUAUAGAGAAGAUAACAUACACUCAAGUUUAUCUAUCGCUAUGACUCAUGUCUCUAUUUAAUCAUGACAAAGUAUAAAAUUACCCACAUAAAAAUGAGAUUAGUUGUGGUACCAUGUCAAAACUUAAUCUAAUAUCUUUUGUGUCUUGUAUUCUAUAUGUCUAUUAUCUUGUAGAAUAAUGAUUAUGGUAUAAUAGGCCAAGUGAGAGAAUGUUGGCCCAUAAGUGGCCCAUUAGCAUAAUAACUACUCAUAAUAACCACUCCUAUAACUACCUAUUGGCUACCCUCAUUUGGGAAACAACACACACCCUAUAUUUAAGAAGAAUCCUUAUUUCAGGAGAUGAGGAAGACACACAGCUCUCUCUCUCUUCUCUCUUCUCCUCAUUCUAUUUGAUGAGAACAUAACCUUUAGUGCUCUAAGAGCUUAGUACUCUUCUCCUUAGUACAUUAGUCUGUCAUCAAGUAGCAUCCUACAGAGAAGGGAUAUCAAAGUGUCUAUCUAUUUGGGAAGACAAAUAUAUCCUUUCUCUUACACUACAAUUUCCUGUGAACACUUGAUACACAAUGUCUUCAUUAGGUGAGUAACCCAUCAUAUAAAAUAGAAUAAUAAUUAUUAUUAAUAUAAUGUUGUUAUUCCAAUAUGGUGGCCAUUUCACUCUCUUCCCAAAGAACAACAAAAGCUAGUCGGGUAAGGCCUUUGGUAGCUGUCAAGUUCAACGCCCACAAAAACGCAUAGGAUAUGAAGGACGCCCCCCAUGUAGGGAUCGACGUCGGCUACAUAACGUCCGCAAUAAUCUCGGAUUGUGGGUCGAUCUCCGGCCAGAACAGAACCACGAUCGACGUAGUGAUCACCUACGAUGCUGGCACCACCAUGCUUAAAGCCUACUUCUCGAACAUGAAUGGCACGGACCAGAGCUUGGCUUACUACGUUAACCUGAGCGAGGAGCUUCCCGAGAAGGUUAACAUCGGCUUCGCGGGCGCCACUGGUGCAUACUUUGGACGCCAUGUGAUACAUUCCUGGAGCUUCAACUCAAGCCUGGAUGUUGCCGUCCGUAACGGUAACACCACAAACGGCGGCGAUGCCGGUGGGACUAAGAAGAAAAGCAACAUCGGCCUACUGGCUGGUGUGCUAGCCGGCGCGGGAACCUUGGCAAUCGCAGCGGGUUUGGCACUCUUCUUCGUCUGGCGAAGAAGGGCACAUGCGAAGAAUGGAGGACAGGACGGCGUCAUCAACGACAGCGAACUUGACGAAGGGAAGGGGCCCAAGAGCUUCUCUUAUUCGGAACUCACCCGGGCAACCACCAACUUUGCGCCAGAACAAAAGCUAGGAAGAGGAGGAUUCGGAGACGUUUACAGAGGAACCUUAACCCGGCCGAAAAUGGUGGUGGCCAUCAAAAGAGUGGCAAAAGACUCGAGGCAGGGGAAGGAGUAUAUCGCCGAGGUGAAGGUCAUCAGCCGCGUGCGCCAACGCAACCUCGUGCAGCUUGUGGGGUGGUGCCACGAGACGGGGGAGCUGCUUCUCGUCUAUGAGUACAUGCCCAACGGCAGCCCCGACGCCCACCUCUACGGCAGUGGCAGUCCUUUGUCUUGGCCGACAAGGUACAGCAUUGCCUGGGGGUUUGCGGCGGCACUGCUGUACCUCCACCAGGAGUCGAAGCAGUGCGUGGUCCACAGGGACGUCAAGUCGAGCAACGUGAUGCUGGACGUCAAUUUCAACGCCAAGUUAGGGGAUUUCGGCCUUGCGAGGCUCGUGGACCACGGCGGCGGCAUGGAGACGACGGCCGUGGCUGGGACGAUGGGGUACCUGGCGCCAGAGACCGCGACGACGGGGAGGGCGAGCAAGGAGUCGGACGUCUACAGCUUCGGGGAGGAGACCCAUCGAUCACGGCAAUAAAGAGGGGCGGGUUAGUCUCGUUGACUGAGUUUGGGAUCUCUACGGGAAGGGCGCCGUUGUGGAGGGGGCGGACGAGAAGCUGGGCUUGGACUUCAACCGGCAGGAGAUGGAGCGGCUGAUGGUGGCGGGGCUGUGCUGCGCCCACCCAGACCACCGGCAACGGCCGUCGAUGCGGCAGGUGAUUGGCAUUCUUCUUUCUGAAAUGCCAUUGCCUAAUCUUCCGGUCCAGAUGCCGGAGCCGUCCUACGGAGGGGUUUCCGUUUCUAGGUCCAACCUGGCCAGCAUCAACUGGUGGUCGUCGUCUACUUCGACGACCCCCAGCGGAUUCACCACCGGCACCUCCAUCGAUUCAGCUUGCUCCACUGGCAGCAAACCACUUCCGUAUCCGCCCGUCAGGUAAAGCCGUCGAAUUCAACGUUUUCGUUUUAUUCUUCGAUUUACUCUUGGCUUGUCUUUUCAGCCGGUCGUCGCAUUAACCGGUCCAACGACUGGGUUGACCAUCUCUCAUCAAAACGGCCGUCGACCGACAGAUCUCAGUGCACGCUCCAACUCGCCCUUUAACAACCACUCGGUCCUUCGAGGUGUUAAUAAGUAGAACCUCUUCUUCUCUAUUUGAGUGUCCUAUUUGACAGUUGUGAAGAGAAGUUCAAGGUAGAUAUCUAAGGGUCUAAUCGGAGUUUUGAAGGCCAUGGUUAGAUAACUAUUUUCUCAGUUCUUGAUGAGAAUUUUCUUGUGAUCUUAUCAUAUCUAACUAAAGCUUUCGUCAUUGUUAUUCGUAGACAAAAGAAGCAGUCUAUGGAACCAUGUUAAAGUGUUUUAUGCUUGUACCCUAUUAUGAGUUGAUCACCCUUCCUUUUCGAUACUUCACAUCGUGUAGAUUGCAUAAACAAUAUUUUGCUAGUACUCUACUAUGAGUUUUGUUCACCUAUUUUGUUUGCUUUAUUUCAUUAGUCCUAGGUGAGUUCAUGACUCCUCCACACCUUUCACUAGAACAUGGACCAGAUCUGCAGAAUCGACUAAGAGAGGAGAUCAAUUCAACCUAUCUAAGUUGAUCUUUUCUUUCAUAUCAGCUUUUAGGUGGCUGUGACUCCCAACUCUCUCUAGUGUAAAAGGAUUCCUCUCGUUUACCCUUAAAAUUCACAGGCAACACUACUGUGGAUUUGAGUUUGGCAAGAGGUGAACUCAAUGAGCUCCAAAAGAGUAAAAGGAAAAUAUGCUGUAAGUAGGGAGAAAGUACAUCCAGAUAUGAAGGAGAAGAGGGCUGGAACAGAGGAUGGACGGGAGUUUGUGGAACAAAAUAAGCCCUCAAAAUUAAAUGUCUUGAGUUGUUUACAACCAAAUAGAGAGGGUUUUAUGUGAAAGUAGACAACUUAAUUCAAAACUGAUUAAAAACAAAAAAAGAAGUAAGGAACGGAGCAAAAGAAGUAGACAACUUCUCCAUGCUCAUCAUGUUGAUAGACUCCUAAGUACCCAAGUCCCUUGUCGCUAGAAACGGAGCAAAAGAAAGGAACGGAUUGCCCGAGCAGAAGACCAGCGCCCAACAUGAGUAAGUUUUGGGCCAGAAAUGAUGGGCCCAGAUAGAGGGCUUGGGCUGGUUAAGGCCCGACCAGCCAACAGCCAACUGUCACAGCGACAGUUUAAAUACUAGAGGAAGAGAUCAAGCGGGAGGAGAGAAAAAUCAAGAUUCUUCUACCCCAUCUACCUCUGCAUUUCACUCUCUGUCUCAGUCUCUCUCUCUCUCUCUCUCUCUCUCUCUAUCUCGCUCUCUAUCUCCUCUCUCUUUCUUUCGUCAUGAUCUCUGCUAGAUCUGCUGUUCAUCAACAUCCCUGCUGCCUGAUUCUUAACCCCCUUCUGCAUUGUCUUUCCGGAGUUCGGAAAUGAUUGCUCUCGAGAGCAGGAACUAGUAAUUCUGGUAUUUCAAGAAAUUGAGAAAGGUGAUUGCGUACGUAAUACUUCUUCUUGUUCUCUGAAAUUCUUGUGUCUAAAAUGUUACUAUCUUAUUUUGAGUGAAUUUCUUGAUAUCCUUCUGUUCUAUCUUUGAAUCAUUGAUUGAACUUCAACCGUUCCUUCCAAAUUUAUAUUGAUUCUGAGGAAUAUAAAAAAAGGAGAUCCUAUCACGUCUUAUAGGCAAGUUUGCAUCAAUUUCAUUUAUAUCAUGUCCAUAGUAUUGGAAAGGCAGCAGCUGGAUGGCGGGCAGCGGUGGAAAUAGUCGGACGGAAGAAGUGGUGGCAGAUGGAUAUUGGCCCUCAGGACCUCUCCUUCGGAGCGAAGAUGGUUGACCCUCACGGCCUCUCCCUCAUGGAGCAAAGACAGGUAAUUCCUCAGAAUAAUCAUUUAUCUGGAGAUGGUCGCAAGACCUCGCCGCUCCCAAUUAGAAGCUCUACCUUUGUCUCUAUCUGGUCGUUGUCGCCAUCUGUCGUCGCCUCCACCACUGCCUUCGCUGCCACCGCCAUCUUCCUCGUCUUCUGCCGUCGCCUUCUUCCUCGUCGUCCACUACCAUAGGGGCACGAGACAACUCUCUCUAAGGAACUCGGCAAAAAUAGCCCCCUAACUUCGGGAGAAGGGGUGCCUACUCACAAAGGGGUUUGCAGUGACCAGGCCUGGGCGACUGCCGCCACUAUUUUGUAUAUGUCCGCUUCGGCCUCCGACACUCUUGGUCCGCCACUAUCUCCACCUUCAUUGCCGUCGCCUCCAUCCCGUCGCCGACCACCUCAUCGCCGCCGCCGGCUGUCCAAGAUCAACCCCAUUCUGUCGUCGCCGCCACCAUCCCUUCCCGCUUCUUCCACUGCCAUUGUCGCCCUUCCCAACCUUUGUUCCUCUGGUGAUCUGUUCCGCCUGUUUCUUUCCCAAUUAGGGCUUAAAGGCCCCGAUUCGUGGGUCCCAAUCUACUGGUUGAACACAUUCGGUGAUCCCGACCAGGCCACCCUCCGAUGCGAGCCCCAUUGGUCUGAACGAACCCGCCACAGGUUCGAGCCAACGUGGACAAUUGGGUCCACGUCGUUCUCUCGCGCCAGGCCGAGCCAUUCUGACCAUCCGGUCCACGUCGGGCAUCCCGUCCAGCUGGAGUCAAGACUCAAUCAAAUUUCUACGACAUAGUGAACGAUCAAUUAUUUAGGCAAGGGUCAACAGCGUGGGCAAAAAGUCAACUAUUAAUAUUCUGCAACCAAUAGUCUCUCUUCUCAGUCCUUUCCAAGGUAAGUAGUUCUCACACAUCAUAUAUCUCUGCUCAUUUAAUAUAUUUUUAUUGCGAUUGUCCGAGGGUGACUAUAGUAUAACCAUAUGUUUCUGAGUUUAAUGAGCAUAGUAUAACGACUCGUGACUUUUCUGAGCUACCCGAUCACGGCUGUCUUUGUCGAAAUACGGCCAUCAUGAGGGCCCUCGGCCGUCAACCCUGUGCGAAGUAAUAUACACGUCACACCUCAGCUUUCCUCCUGGCCGUGGACAGCGUAGAUGUCAACGCGGACAGGCCACAUGCGUUGAAUGCAACUAAACGUGUUCAAAUCAAGUCCCCCGGGUACCCCGUCAAUCUUCAUUUCUGUAAAGAUUUCGAGGAUCUUACCGUGGAAAAAGUAGAAGCUCAACGAACUAUCCCCCACCGCAAGAAGCGGUUCCUAGUGGCCACCGCAGGGUUGGUUGAUGAUCCUCGCCGUCCUGCGGGGAAAAGACCUCGCGACUUAACUCAACCCGAAGAAUCGGACCCCUGGUCCUCCUCGAGGACGAUGGAAGCUUCGUGUGGCGGAUCCGGGAGGUCAACGUCGGGCUGGAUGGUCGCCACCUCUCUUGAAAGCCUCACCGGAACACGCGUAGACCGAAGCGAUUAUCGCUCAUUAUUUAGGGGCGCCGCCACCCACUCGCCCAAUACGAGGAGCGCUCGAAUUUAAUAAACGAGCGGUUACUGUCACGAUAACAAGGCCGAGAACUUACAAAAUGUUUCAUAGCCAGAGUGCCGUGACGGCUUUCGCACCUUACAGCGGCCUUGUGGAGGCCCCAACCCACCUCCACGGAAAUCAUCCCUGAGCCAUGCCGCCCGGCGCCUCCAUCACCUCUUUGCUCCUCCUGCUCACCUUCAUCCUCAGGGCUGGAGGGGAGACGGUGACCACCUCCUUCGACUUCCCCAGGUUCGCGUCCAGCCCCGCAAACAUCACCUUUCAGGGCGAAGCCUCAUCCGCCAACGGAUCCCUAGAGCUCAACAAGGACGGCGAAUACAGCUACGGCCGAGCCAUCUACUCCAGCCCAGUCCGUCUCUGGGACAACAAAACCGGGAAUCUCGCGAGCUUCACAACAACUUUCUCCUUCUCCGUGAUCCGGCGUCCGAACGCGACGAAUUUUGCUGAUGGGUUAGCCUUCUUCCUCGCCCCCGUCGGUUAUCCUCUCUCGGAAAACACCACAGGGGGCGAACUCACCCUCUUCGACGGCUACUUCUCAACCCGACCGCCUAAGGUCCCCGUAGUAGCCGUCGAGUUCGACACCUUCCAAAACGAAUGGGAUAAGGAGGUCACCCAUGUGGGGAUCAACGUCGGCUACAUCGAGUCCGUCGAUAGCUUGCCUUGGUGGUCGCCCGAUGGCCAGACCCGUGCCACGAUCGACGCAGUGAUCACCUAUGACGCUGAUACCACCAGGUUGAGAGCCUCCUUCUCCGAGGUGAACGGCGACAACAGGAUCUUGCCUUACACCGUCGACCUGAGAAAGGAGCUUCCCGAGAGGGUGAACAUCGGCUUCGCAGGCGGCACAGGCCUAUACUUCGAACGCCAUGUGAUACACUCCUGGAGCUUCAAUUCGAGCCUGGAUGUUGCCAUCCGUAAUGGCAACACUACCAACGGAGGCGACGCGGGAGGGGGCAGCAUCAACGCUCCUCCGGACCCCCCUCCGAGCAAGAAGAAAAGCAGAAUCGGCCUACUGGCUGGUGUGCUAGCUGGCGCGGGAACCUUGGCAAUCGCAGCGGGUUUGGCACUGUUCUUCUUCCGGCGAAGAAGGGCAUAUGCCAAGAAUGGAGGACAGGACGACGUCAUCAACGACAGCGAACUUGACGAAGGGAAGGGACCUAAGAGCUUCUCGUAUUCGGAACUCGCCCGGGCAACCACCAACUUUGCGCCAGAACAAAAGCUAGGAAGAGGAGGAUUCGGAGACGUUUACAGAGGAACCUUAACCCAGCCGAAAAUGGUGGUGGCCAUCAAAAGAGUGGCAAAAGACUCGAGGCAGGGAAAGAAGGAGUAUGUCGCCGAGGUGAAGGUCAUCAGCCGCGUGCGCCACCGCAACCUCGUGCAGCUCGUGGGGUGGUGCCACGAGAAGGGGGAGCUGCUUCUCGUCUAUGAGUACAUGCCCAACGGCAGCCUCGACGCCCAC